AUAGUUAUUUAAUUCAAGCCAACCUUACCACGUAUACUUUCUCUAACUGGUUCAAUGUGUGUCUCUCAGUACCUUCUUCAUUUGGCCAUGCAGUGUUGAUGGUAGAUGUAGAGGCUGAAGGCUUCAGGUAUAGACCCCUACCCUCCAGACUCAGCUGUCUCUCAGUACCUUCUUCAUUUGGCCAUGCAGUGUUGAUGGUUGAUGUAGAGGCUGAAGGCUUCAGGGAAGACAGGAGAGGAACC
rnacentral:lncRNA from 1 species